GGCCGGGCUAGCUAGCUACAAAUGACAAACUUAGCUUAACAGUUAAAUAAGUCGUUUUAGCUUAAAGUUGCGUUUUUUAAUGUAUUAUUUCCUACUUUCAUGUGAUUAGUAUAACAGUGUAGAUGACAAGAGACCCCGUUUUCCAAGAUAAUGUUCAUAUAUUGUUCAGGCUUUGAGUUGGAGUCGUCGUUUUGAGGCCACAGACUUCAGAGGAGAUUUCAGAAGCGUCAGCAGUCAUCUCUUCUUCAAGUAUGGAGGCCUGCUUCGGGCUAAAUAAAGAUAAAGAGAAGUUUUUCCGUCCCUUGAAGCCGACAGUCGCCAGUGGCUUCCCUCUCAUGAAGCCGUCUGGACCUGUGACCUAACGGCCUCCUACCCUGUACUUUAACCCAGCAAGCCUCCGAAAACCUCGCUCCUAUUUAUACCACACAGCCGAACGUUACCGCUCAUUAAAGCAGCUCUUGUGGUGCUGCCAGCUUGUUAGCAAUUUGUCUGAGGCAAGAGUCAUCAGGCGGCAAGUUGCGCAUGAAUUUAGACGCACAUUUAAACUGCAGACCAUACUAAAUCAUCGUUUAGUGUCUUUAGCACAUAGAGAGCUCAGUGUUAGAAGCAUCAGACUUUUAACAACUCGCUUCAGAGCCUCAUAAUCCUCGACUUCACAGUAAAUUUGCUACGGAUGUUUGUGCUUCCCAGAAGAUGCUCAUGAUCUGUAAUCACAGACAGGACAUUAGUUCCGCUUCAAACAGGGGAUAAACUCUGAUCCUGAUUAGCUUCACACACUUUUGGAUGUCUUUCUGGUUUUCCUGAGGUUUAGUUUUGUUUAAAUUAACGAAUUGGCUCAUUUUUAUAUUUGUAGCAUUCCUUCAGGUUUGUUUCCGUGUCGGAAGACCUCAACUAAACUCCAGUUUUUAGAUUCCUAAUGAAAUAAAUGGACACUAUCACGUUGUUUUCCACCCUUUUGAGAAUGCCAAGCAAAGCCGUGCAUAUUAUUUAAACCCUAAACUCCAAUUUUCGUCUCCAAAAACAACUUUUUCUUGCCCGUUGUGUAUUUAUCACCAUUCUCGCUUUUUGUUUAUUCAUCUACAGCUUUACUACCUUAUUAUCCCAUGUUUCAAACAACAUUCUGCUACUUUUUUCAGCUUAGACUAAAACUCAGACUCAAUCCAGCUGUUAUUGCCACCAAUUUUAUUGAGUUACAUGUUUUGUUGGUUAGAAUUUGUCAGCGAUUAGACACAUUUUGUUGGAAAUAUGCUCAGAAAUGCUACCUCAAGUGACAUUUUAUUGUUGAAUUGAAAUUCUGUUAAGUUGGUUGAGUUGCAGAGAGAUGAUUUUUAAGUCUUGCAGGUCAAAAGUCAAGUUAAAACCAGAUUCUUACUAUUAAAUGAUAAAAAGUUGUGUCAAAACUUCCAUAAGGAAACAUGUAAAACCAUUAAAAACUGGUAAAUGUA
ensembl:lncRNA